UGAGGAAUAUUGGUCAAUGGGCGAGAGCCUGAACCAGCCAAGUAGCGUGCAGGAAGAAGGUGCUAUGCAUUGUAAACUGCUUUUAUACGGGGGUAAGUUACAGAUACGUGUAUCUGCUUGAAAGUACCGUAUGAAUAAGGACCGGCUAAUUCCGUGCCAGCAGCCGCGGUAAUACGGAAGGUCCUGGCGUUAUCCGGAUUUAUUGGGUUUAAAGGGAGCGUAGGCCGGAGAUUAAGCGUGUUGUGAAAUGUAGGAGCUCAACUUCUGCACUGCAGCGCGAACUGGUUUCCUUGAGUACGUAGGAAGUUGGCGGAAUUCGUGGUGUAGCGGUGAAAUGCUUAGAUAUCACGAAGAACUCCGAUUGCGAAGGCAGCUGACUGUAUCGUAACUGACGCUGAAGCUCGAAAGUGUGGGUAUCGAACAGGAUUAGAUACC
rnacentral:rRNA from 1 species